UCCGUUCGCCUCCCGGGCGCGCACAGCUCCGGCAUUCGCUCCGCUCCGCCUCUGCCACGCCGCUCUCCGAGCUUCGCCGCAGCCAGCGCGAGAGCGCGCCCUCCGCGCCGCCGCCCGGGCUCCCGGCGCCCGAUCCCCGUGGCUUGGUGCCCGGCCCCCCGCGCCCCGCGACCUCGCCGUCUCCCAAGUCCUGGCCCUGCUCCCCACCCGGCCCAGCUCGGCCUCUGUCUGUGUCCUCCCCCCCACCCCCACCCCCUUCCUCUCUCUCUCUUUUGCUUGCUUGCUUGUUUGCUAGCUCUCAGACCAGGCGAAGCAGCUUCGCAGGAAAAUCCCAGAAACCUUUGCAAAAAGCUGACAAUGAAAUUUAAGAAGUUCUUCGAUUUCGGCGCCAUUUUCGAGUGGAGCGAGAGCGACUGACCGCCUCCUGAAGUGACAAGACGCCUCUUUGUAAUCUCUUUUCGGCAACCAAGGACAUUUUUCGCCAUUAAUCUCAAAAGCCACUGUAAAAGUUGUUUGUAAAUGAAAUAGCCAAAACAAGGUGGAAUUAAGAGACAAUUGUAUGUCCCAACUGGGGGAGUGGAGUUAUUAUAUUAAUAACUGUGUUCACCGUGACAGAAGUAGUGAAUCUCAGCCUGGUGUGAUGAAUUUUGUGCUUAGUCUGAUUAAAUACUGUGCACAUUUCAUUAACUAAUAAAUAGGACACAACAUCCAUUGUACUGGUUCUGAAAAACCGAUAUGAUUUUGAAAUGACCCAGAACACUUAGCACACUUGGAUACUUUAAGUGUUCAUGACCAUAUUGAAAUGUAUUUUAAUUUUCGAAACCAUUACAGUUCUAUGCUGGUUCUGUUGUUUUACCUUUUAGGUUUGUGGUGGAGGUUACAGAGUAGUUUCUUCUCUGCUUAAUUGACCAUUUCACUUAAAGGAGGGGGAGUGGGUGCCAUGUAACUUAUUGCUAAUGUGUGUCCAGUUUAAAAAGGAAAAGGUGGUGUGUAAUGAGUUAAGCAUUAAGGAGUUUGCACUGUGACCGCCAUUUCAGGACGUGAGUUUCUGUGGAACUGCUUAGGACAGGAAAGAGUGAACUGACACCAAGUAUUGAAAUUUCUUGGAUUUAUGGUUUGAUAGGUGACAUUGAAAAGUAUAAAUUAUUUAUAACUAAGUUUGAGUAACCAAUCUCAUAUGUAAACAUCUAGAUAUUUUAUUUAGAGACAAUUAUCGCUCAAAAGAAGGGGGCGCUGGGGGUUAAAGGGGACAUUGGAUGCUUGUAUGGAAGGAUCUAUAUUUCCAGCUCUCUUAUAUGUUACAAUCAGUUGAAGCUGCCAGAGACAUUUUGGUUAUCUCCUUUAAGUCAAUAAAUGAAAAGUUGUGCUCCCCCCCCCCCCCACGGGGACAUUACAUCAUUACAUGAGACUUCUGAUUUGUAACAUGCAGCAGGAAGAAGUUUCCCUAAGACUUUAGAGCUGGCAAGAGAGAUCCAGAUAGUGCCAAAGUGCCUCAAUUUAUUUUCUCUUACUAUUAUUUCCUUCAGAGGUAAGACUCUUCCCCACCCUCAUUCCUGUCUCCCACCCCUCUGCUUUUCACCCUACACUUUUCCAAGAUUCAGCCGCUGCGGGGGGGGGGGGCGGGGGGGGGAUUGAGAGUCACACCCUUCGCUACACCGGCCAGUUUCGAAGUCAAACGGUGAAGUCCUCAAAAGUACGUCGAUCUGGAAUGACGCGUCUUAGUCCUACCCUUUGCUUUAUUCCUCGCCUUUGGGUGGGACUUGACGGGGCUUCCUUCCGGUCAUCAUGUCUUUCUCCACCUGCAGGUACCCCAGAGCGAUCCCCACCUUCGUUGACUCCGAGGGGAUGCAGCAGCAAUUCAUGUUUUGAAGUGCUUUGAACGGUUCAAAACGUGAGGCGCUGCUAUACCCCCUCGCGGGGAAGUUGGAAGGUUGGGUUCUGCUGGACGUGUGUUCCUGCGGGACGCCCGCUCCCAAAGGCCAGUUCGGGAGCAGGUGAAAUUUUAAAUGAUUGCAAAAAUCCCUUGCGGAUCACCUAGAAUACCACCCACACGACAAAAGGCAAGAAGGACCACCUUCAAGCCCCAGCAACUCAGUGGGCACCGGGUAUUGGAAAAGGAGCAAGAAGAGGCAGGAAGGGUGAGCGGGCGCCCUGUGGCUCCUGGUAACUGGCUCAGAUCCUGCGUGUGGGGAGGGCUUUGGGGUCCAGGAAAGGCGCACGUUUCUGGGCCCUUCUCAACACCCUCUUUCCCUCCCCCCGCCCCCCAGCUGAGUUGCGGGGAGCUUCCUGGGGGCUGGGGCAAGGACCGUUGCGGCGAGGCUCCGGGCCUAGCAUGAACGUGAACCCCAGCGUGAUCGGAGGCCUGCAGGAGAGCAAGGAAUGAGGCGCUGCGUUUUCUAGCUGCUUCUCACCUUAUCGCCCCAAAUCUGGCCCCGGGACUCCACUGUGGAGGCGCUGCCUCAAGGCCACCUUUGUCGCUCCAGGGGCCUCACGGAAAAGAAAUGUCCCCCCGCCCCUGGCAGGGUAUUGGCCUGACACUUCCUGAAGAAAAUGGCAGCGCCCGAGCUGUCCACCGAGGGCCCUUCCCGCCCGGGGCACAAGGGAGCCUUCGUGCCGCAACCCCGCCGACCCCUAGAGCCACCUGCACCCCUCGCGGGGGUCCCGAGCGGCUGGGAGCGGGAUGGCCGGCCUAGAGAAGAGCCGGCCCAGGCCUGCCUCGUCCUGUGAAAGGCGCCGCAGGGGCACAUGGCUUUGGGCCUGGCGUCUGGGUGGGUAGAGGACAAAAGGAGGUGCGGACUCGUCCCCAAGCUUCAGGCCCUCUUGGAAGCGAGCGAACACCAAGAGCCCCGCGGGCCUGCACGGGCUGCCUCGAGCUGGCCUUGCGGGCGGCCCGGGCCCGGGGUCCCCGCAGUUCUGCGGGCGGGCAGGGUGGGGAGGCCCGGGGUCGCGGGCGGCCGGGAGUCGGGCAGCCCCCAGGGCCCACGCGGCCGCGCUCCCAGACGCCCUUGCGCCCGCGGCAGGCGCGGGGGGACGCUUUGGGGGCCCUUCCGGCCCCCGCCGCGGCCCCUCGGGCUCCCCGGGGCCCUCCCCGCCUCGCCGGCCCCUCGGGCGCGCAGUCCCCGGGCCCGGGCGGCGAACGGGUUCCCGCGCCCGCCUUUCCCCUGCCCUGGGGGCGGGGGGUGCCGGGAGGCACCUGGCAGCUGCCCUCCUGCCUCCCACCGGCCUCCCUCGUCCCUCUCUGCGCCGCUCUGCACGGGCGCCCCUCGAGCCAGAAGGAGGCCCCGGGGCAGCCGGGCGCCCAGCCUCCCCCUCCCCAGCCCCGCCCUCCCCCCCC